CUUCUCUUCAUGAUCUCGUGGCUAACAGGACCAGGGAAGUGACUGUCCCCUGUACUGGGCACAGGUCCCACAGAACUCUUCCAGUGUGGAAGCAUCACAAGUUUUUGUGAAGAAUAGAUGGAAAAAUAACCGCAGAGCAAUGGAAGGUCAGGCCCUAACUGCUACCAGUGGGAGCCAUGCACUGAGGUUGAGGGAGGAAGAAGGGAUGAAGGAGAAGACACCUCACCAGCAAAAGGAAAAGCUUUAUGCUGCUCUGAAAGCCCUGCAAGCCAACCCGACGCCGGUACAGUGAAACCUGCCUGCCAUAUACGUCCACCAAAUGCAGAUGUUGACGAGACAACACAGAAAAGAGCCAGAAAUAGGAAAAACAGGCGGAAAUUUUGCGAGAAACGGGAGAUUUCUUCAGGAGGUGAAAUCUCCUCUGGGCUCUGAAGCACCAGGCAGCUCUCCUCUCUACAGAUAAUUAUAGAUAACUGCUGCUAGAAAAGUCACCAGCAGAAAUAUGAUCACUGAGUGGAGAGCUGCAGGCAGCUGCGCAUGCACCGAGUUACUCCCCAUCCCACACCCACCCACCUCGGCCCGGGGCUGAGGUAACUGAAGCGGGGGAGGUGGCCACAGCUGAGCCUCUGUCUUCUCCCCUCUUGUUUCUGCCCUCUUCCUUCUCCCUUCCCCCUUCUUUCUUCUCCCUGGACACCCUUUUUUCUUAGUUUGUAUUGGGGAGCAGCCAUGAGGACGGCCCCUGGAUGGGAUUCUCUCCUUCUCUCCCCUUCUUCCUCUUGGUUCUUAUAAGACAGCCUGAAGUCCUCUUCCCUCAGACACCAGAGCCCCCAUUCCUCGGUCCCCUUCUCCUCCUUUAUCGGGGAGCAGCUGUGAGGAUGCUCCCCGUCCCCACCAGCCACCGGAGCCCCUAUUCCUCUGUCAUUUUUUUUCCUCCUUCUGCAGCAGAGAGGAUGCCUUAAGCCCCCUCCAACAGCUGGAGCACCCCUACUCCCCAGUCCGCUUCCCCUUCAUCAGGAAGCAGCUGCGAGGAUGCCCCCAGCCCUCCUCCACCACUAGACUCCCCAUUACCCGUCCCCUUUUCCCUCUCCUUUAGCGAGCAGCAGCUGUGAGGAUGCCGCCGCCACGCAGCCCAUCCACCAGGCUCGCCCCAGCCUCCAUCCACCGAGCCCCUCUACUCCCUCUUCCGCAGCCUCGGGCGGCUCAUCCCGCUGCGGGGCGGGAGGAGUGCGCGCCUGU